AUCACCUCCUUGUCCUAUUUCAAAGAGGUAGAAAAGGUUUAUGCUGGUCUGGAAUAUGGACUCCUUUUACUUAAGGGAAGGAGAAAACUUCAAAAACAUCACAACUGACUCCCCAAUCUCACUUUUUAGUAUUCAGGAUCAGGAAACUGGAUCUUCCCUGCCGUCACCCUUUGGUGAAAGGGAAGGGAUCACUCCAGGGGCAGGGCCUCGGCCCAGCUGGCAGCCCUAGGCUUUAUGUAGUGAUGCCAGUAGCAAUUAAUAAUGAUAAUAAAUACCACACUUCAAACCAAACCCAAGCCGAGGAUGACUGAAUGAUUGGACCUCUGCCUCCCACCUGCGUGCGGUUACUCUGCGAGUCCACACCCUCCCGGGCAGCCUCAGUUCCACCCACCACCUUCAGCCUGGGAUUCAAAGGGAGCGCUGCCCCAGGACCAGCGACGUGGACCAGCACACUGCCCCUUAGCAGACCCACAGGGAGUGGGAUGAUUUAAACUUAAAAGAAAGAAAGAAAAUCACCGCCAGGACUCUGGUCGACGGCCUACGGUGCAGUGCGACCACUGAGUGGGGGACACGCCGCCUGGAACUCGCCACUGGCCCCAGACGCUGGCAGGGGUGGGGGGCUCUGAGGUGACCCUGGGUCCUUGGGUAAAAGCGUCCCGAGACGGGAAGAAAUAUGGUAUAAGCGAGAAGGCCUCAUAAAUCUGGGCUGUUAAAAAUCUAAGUUAAAAAUAUGUUUUAAGUCAGAAAUGCAUUCUUUUUCUUUAUGAAACAUCGCCGAAGCAGCCAGUUUUGUGACAGGAUAGUAAAAUGAGCGUGAGUUCGCGGGGGUGGAGGUGCACCGGGACGCGGGUCCUUGCCGGGUCUCGCCGCUCCUCCGGAAGCGGCGCAAGACUGGGUCCCCAAACACCCUUCCCGUUUGGCAGCCAAGCCCCCGCCCCCUGCCCAAUUGGCUGCAGUGUUCUGGGUGGAUUUGAAUCGCGAAUAGUGGUGUGGCGCGGCCCAAAUAAAUCAAUCCUGGGGACAGGCCGCGCCCGGGAGCCAGCCCUCUGUGAGGGUAAGGGGAACGACUCGCCCAGGAGGGGCCGCUCAUUGGGUCUAAACAGUCCGGAGAGAAACGGUUUCGUUCAAGAUUAGCAAAUCCCGAAAGAGGAGACAGGCGGGGGUGGAAAAAAAAAAAAAAAGGAAAAGAAGGAAAAGAAAAAAUAUAUAUAUACCCACGAAGAAAACAGGAACUUUUAAGAGCUGUCCGUGUACUUUGGACACUAGUGGGUGCCUUCUCCCCAGCUCUUGGGUUUCUCCCUAGUUUGGGGUGCACCUCUUCCCUCAAAACUUCCUAAUCUGCCGGCCUUCUAGACCAGCUGGGGCGCACCCAGGAAGCUCCACGAGCGGGCCUGGGGCUCAUGGGAGUGGCUUUGAAAACAUGCUUGUCUUCCCCAGAGUUGUCCCUAGCGCCAAAGAUGCACUGGGGAAAAGGCACAUUGGAGAGGUCAGGCAGCUUGGUUUUCUGUCUGAAUCAACUGUACGAGUUAAACAGUUUUAUUUUGAAAUUAACCAACACACACAAAAACAACAACAACAUUCACUACCCAUUCCCUCGUUUGGUUGGAAAACCAGUCUGAAAAAAUAAAUACAAUCUGUGACCAUGAAAA